GAUGAACGCUGGCGGCGUGCUUAACACAUGCAAGUCGAGCGAAAAGACGAGGAUCUUGCUCCUCGGACGUUAGCGGCGGGCGGGUGAGUAACACGUGGAUACCCUACCUAUAAGACUGGGAUAACUAAGGGAAAACGGAGCUCAUACCGGAUAAGAUGUUGAACCGCAUGGUUAGAAAGUGAAAGACGGCUUUGCUGUCUCGAAUAGAUGGUUCCGCGCCGGAUUAGCUAGUUGGUAAGGUAACGGCUUACCAAGGCAACGAUGCGUAGCCGACCUGAGAGGGCGAUCGGCCACACUGGAACUGAGACACGGUCCAGACUCCUACGGGAGGCAGCAGUGGGGAAUCUUGGGCAAUGGGCGAAAGCCUGACGCAGCAACGCCGCGUGAGGGAAGAAGGCCUUCGGGUCGUAAACCGCUUUUAUUAGGGAAGAACAACUGUGUAAUAAUCUAUGCAGGUCAUGACGGUACCUGAUCAAAAAGCCACGGCUAACUACGUG
rnacentral:rRNA from 1 species